rnacentral:tRNA from 1 species
UCCCUGGUGGUCAAAUGGUAAAGCAUUUGCCUACAAUGCGGGAGACCCAGGUUCGAUCCCUGGGUUGGGAA